GAAGCUGACCAGACAGUCGCCGCUUCGUCGUCGUCCUUUCGGGGAGACGGGCGGAGGGGAGGAAAGUCCGGGCUCCAUAGGGCAGGGUGCCAGGUAACGCCUGGGGGGGGAAACCCACGACCAGUGCAACAGAGAGCAAACCGCCGAUGGCCCACGCAAGUGGGAUCAGGUAAGGGUGAAAGGGUGCGGUAAGAGCGCACCGCGCGGCUGGUAACAGUCCGUGGCACGGUAAACUCCACCCGGAGCAAGGCCAAAUAGGGGUUCAUAAGGUACGGCCCGUACUGAACCCGGGUAGGCUGCUUGAGCCAGUGAGCGAUUGCUGGCCUAGAUGAAUGACUGUCCACGACAGAACCCGGCUUAUCGGUCAGUUUC
rnacentral:RNase_P_RNA from 1 species